CCAAACUUGGUCAUUUAGAGGAAGUAAAAGUCGUAACAAGGUUUCCGUAGGUGAACCUGCGGAAGGAUCAUUAUUGAAUCCUUAGGAUGUUGCUGGCCUCCUUUGGAGGCAUGUGCACUCCGCCUUUCAAUACACCUGUGAACUCAUUGUAGGUGCAGACGUAACAGUCUGUUGCCUAUGUUUUUUUUAACACACUCUUAAAAUGUAUUAUGAAUGUCUAAAAUAUGGCCUUUGAUGUCAGUAAAACCUAAUACAACUUUCAACAAUGGAUCUCUUGGUUCUCGCAUCGAUGAAGAACGCAGC
rnacentral:misc_RNA from 1 species